rnacentral:rRNA from 1 species
UACGUAGGGUGCAAGCGUUGUCCGGAAUUAUUGGGCGUAAAGAGCUCGUAGGCGGUUUGUUGCGUCGGCUGUGAAAUCCCGAGGCUCAACCUCGGGUCUGCAGUCGAUACGAGCAAACUAGAGUGUUGCAGGGGAGACUGGAAUUCCUGGUGUAGCGGUGAAAUGCGCAGAUAUCGGAAGGAACACCAGUGGCGAAAGCGGCUUCCUGGUCCAGCACCGACGUCAGGCACGAAAGCGUGGGGAGCAAACAGG